AGCAGGCUGGGUAGAUGAGAGCUGGAGGUUGCAAGUAGCAGGCUGGGUAGAUGAGAGCUGGAGGUUGCAAGUAGCAGGCUGGGUAGAUGUGAGCUGGAGGUUGCUAGUAGCAGGCUGGGUAGAUGUGAGCUGGAGGUUGCUAGUAGCAGGCUGGGUAGAUGUGAGCUGGAGGUUGCUAGUAGCAGGCUGGGUAGAUGUGAGCUGGAGGUUGCUAGCAGGCUGGGUGUAUGCGUAUGUCUGGUUUAAGGAUGUGGUUCCAUUAGAGUAAUAUGGGGGGGAGCUGGGGUAGGGUGAAUCC